rnacentral:rRNA from 1 species
GACGAACGCUGGCGGCGUGCUUAACACAUGCAAGUCGAACGGAAAGACGCUGCGUUUGUGUGGUGCUCGAGUGGCGAACGGGUGAGUGACACGUGAGUAACCUCCACUUGUCUUUGGGAUAACUUCAGGAGACUGGGGAGAAUACAGGGUAGGAGCUCCUGAUGCAUAGUGGGGGUUGGAAAGAGUCGGCGGUUGUGGAUGGAAUCGAGGCUUAUCAGCUGGUUGGUCGGGUAGUGGCUGACCAAGGCUAUGACGGGUAGCCGGCCUGAGAGCGUGACCGGCCACAAUGGGACUGAGAUACGGCGCAGACGCCUACGGGAGGCAGCAGUGGGGAAUCUUGCACAAUGGGCCGAAGCCUGAUGCAGCAACGCUGCGUUCGGGAUGCCGGCUUUCGGGGUGUAAACCGAUUUCGUCUGUGCCGAAGAGUGAGUGACGGUAAUGGGUAAAGAAGCCACGGCUAACUACGUG